rnacentral:lncRNA from 1 species
UGAGGUCAGUGGCCAACUGGUCCUAUGUUCCUGUCUAAUCUCGUUCCCAUGUUCUCCUCACUGAGAACAGUUGUUAUAUGAAAUGUUAUUUCCUUUUCCUAGAAUAUCCUUCCACUCUCACAUAUUAAACUGUCUAGAAUAUUCCUACUCAGGCUUUGCUUCUCAGCUUAAAUGCUGCUUCCUCCAUGAGGCCCCUGCUGUCUCUAGGUGACAUAGGAAAGCUGUUUUCUGAGUUCCUAUAGCAUUCUGUACAUUACUCCUUCAAACCAGUUAUCUGAUUUAUAUUGAAGUUGUCUACAUGUCUGUUUCCUCACUAAAGAUUCCUUGUCAUAGACACAGUCAUCAGCUUUUCUUAUGUACUAAGUACUAUUCCCAGGACAAAACUGGCACAUGAUAUUUGUUAAAUAAAUCCAAAAAUGAAAUAUUUAUUUGCAUAAUAAUGAAGACAUUCUGUGUUACUUUAAGCUUAAUAAAUAAAUACGGAGUUGGAAGCUUAGAGGGAAAAUGUUUAUCAAGAAAGCAGAUAUUGACUCUCAUUGGCCUAGAUCUAAUUCCUAUAGCAAACAAUAAAGCAAUGUUGGAGAAAGACAAAGUAGCAAUUUAUUUAGCUAUUAUUGUUCUUUCAGGGGUCACGGCCUUAUACUUAGAGGUAAGUUCUUAUAUUCCACUAUUUUCUAGAAUUGGAGCGACUUAUCCUUAUAAUAGAACUGUAUUGAACAUUUUGCUAUUCCUUUAGCUCACCAAACUUUUUUUUAUUCUUUAUUUUUUAUUUUUCUUGUGAUAGGGUCUCACUCUAUUUGUCCAGGCUACUGCAGUGCGGUGGCAUAGGGUUCGCUGUAACCUGGAACUCCUGGGCCCAAGCAAUCCUCCCGCCUCAGCUUCCCAAGUAGCUAGGAUUAUAGGCGCAUGCCACCAUGCCCAGCUAAUUUUUAAAAAAUUGUUUUAGAAGUAGGGUCUUGCUACAUUGAGCAGGUUGGUCUUGAACUCCUGGCUUCAUGUGAUCCUCCUGUCUCAGCCUCCCAAGGCACUGGGAUUACAGGAGUGAGCCACUGCACCCAGUCAUAGCCCACCAAACUUUCUUAAACCUGUAUUUUCAAAUAGACUGUGUCCUCUAUCUAAGAGGAUGCCCCCAACACACUCCUUAUUGGACAACCUCAUAUUCAUCUUUUCAUAGACAAUAUAAGGGCCAUGUUUAUGACCACUUUUCUGAUUCCUUCUAGAGAUAAAUUCUUUCAUGCUUCCAAAACCCUGCAUGCACAGUUUUAGUACAGCACUUAACUUUAUUUAUUUACAACAAGUAAAUCCUCUUUUUUCC